rnacentral:sRNA from 2 species
AAAAUGGCCGACUAGGGUUCCGGCUCGCCUGGCGAGUGACUGGUCCGAGAGUUGGCGACCUCCAGCGAGGUUACACGGCGGGAUAAAAGCCCGGGAGAA